rnacentral:lncRNA from 1 species
UUUUAGUGAAGGAAAAUGUUUUCAAUAUUGUAAUUGAUAAAUUUAAAAAUCUGAAGUGUUAUUCAUUUCUUUUCAUUUAAAAGCUUAGUACUACCUACUGGUAGGUUAUAAUGUAUAGAAUAUAGUAGUAUAUGCUUGUAAAAUGUAUCAUUAACUGAAUAUGCUGGGGUGUGGGCUUCUAUUAAGCAAUGGCACUAGACCAGUUUAAAUCAUUCAGGAUGGAGGAACUGCAGAGUAUUGAGUUCAGUUGCUAGUGCUGUAGGGCUGCUGACCUGAGUUUGGAUCUUCAGCGCUCAUGUCCAAAAGCUGAGCAGGACCGCUGGGGAGCAGACAGGUGGAUCUGUCAACCUUGAGGACAGCAAGCCAGACAGAGUCAGUGAGCUUUAGGUUCAACAGAAAAAUAAACAAGCAAGCAAACAAACAAACAAACAACAAAAUCAAGGAAAUUCACCAAAAAGGUGGUGAUUUUACUUAGCAAGAAUGUCUUCAGCUAAAACAAGACAAGGAUGUAACCACCCAGAGUUUACCAGUUCUGCUUUUGAGCAGCAACUGUACCCCUAAUGAGUCUGAGGAGCUAGAAACCUAGAGUUCUGUUAUGUGCCAAGUGGGCUGGACUUUGCAGUCAUGUGUGGGUGUUGCUGCUCUACAGUGCUACUCCCAUUGCCAUCACUAGCAGCCCCGAAAGCUACCUCCUAAGAGUUCCGUGUUGUAGAGGCAGAACAAGUACCAUUGUUGAGACUGCCAGUGC